rnacentral:rRNA from 1 species
GACAGAGGGGGCUAGCGUUGCACGGAAUCACUGGGCGUAAAGGGUGCGUAGGCGGGUCUUUAAGUCAGGGGUGAAAUCCUGGAGCUCAACUCCAGAACUGCCUUUGAUACUGAAGAUCUUGAGUUCGGGAGAGGUGAGUGGAACUGCGAGUGUAGAGGUGAAAUUCGUAGAUAUUCGCAAGAACACCAGUGGCGAAGGCGGCUCACUGGCCCGAUACUGACGCUGAGGCACGAAAGCGUGGGGAGCAAACAGG